UUCUUCUUGAUCUACUCCAGACUGAAGUGCCAGUGGAAUUUGGAAUUCGGUGUUCAAUCUUGACUGACAUUCACCAUACACCUCUACGGUUUUUAUAGAAAAUACAGA